rnacentral:rRNA from 1 species
CACGUAGGGUGCGAGCGUUGUCCGGAAUUAUUGGGCGUAAAGAGCUCGUAGGCGGUGUGUCGCGUCGGCCGUGAAACUCGCAGCUUAACUGUGGGCUUGCGGUCGAUACGGGCAUCACUGGAGUUCGGCAGGGGAGACUGGAAUUCCUGGUGUAGCGGUGAAAUGCGUAGAUAUCAGGAGGAACACCGGUGGCGAAGGCGACUUUCUGGACAGUAACUGACGCUGAGGCGCGAAAGCUAGGGGAGCAAACAGG